ACAAAUCCUGAAUUGUUGUUUGUGCAUGGGUGUAUGUGUAUGAUGGUCAUUUGAACAAAGGGGAUUUCACUCCCACUCAUUCAUUUGAUGUCAUGUGCAUAUUCCAUUCACAAGCAAUACACUCGUUCCAUGUGCAUUCACUUGUGCAUGAUAACAUUUCUACGAAUCAUCUGAUUGUCACAUAAUCUAAUCUAUUAUUUAUAA
rnacentral:misc_RNA from 1 species